CAUAUGUGCUUAUUUUUAUUAUAUUAUUUAUUUUAAAAGAAAAAUUAUUUACAGGCAGAUUGAAAACAAAUGUCUUUCGUUGAUGAUAAAGAAGUAGUGCUAGAUGAUUAUGUUGGUAAUAUUUUCCAAACUUUAUUUUAUCCAACAUAAUGUACAAAGACUCAUAAAUGUAAUAUUGUUAUUAACACAAAGAUGGGCCAUAUUAGACUUUAUAUGUCUAGACAUAAUUAUAUUCAAUAAAAACGACCAGUUUAUUCCAAAAUGUGUAGAAAAACUAUGAAGAUUCCUGGAAAUUCUAUUGGCACGUGGGUCAUAUUUCAAACAAUUCAGCUUUUAUGUGACAUUUUUUGUAUUAAUUUUAGAUGUGUGUUAACAUCGAUCAAUAUAAUGAAAAUAAUUUGAACCUAUUACGAUAAAAAUUAUAAUUUUUUUUUUUUAAUUAUAUCACAUAUAUUUUAUAGAUAAAUAAAAAAAAUUGUAUUUUAAACGUAGUCCAAAACUGUAAAAGU